AGCAUGCGGGUACUAUACAUGCAGUCGAGCGGACAGAAGGGAGCUUGCUCCCGGAUGUUAGCGGCGGACGGGUGAGUAACACGUGGGUAACCUGCCUGUAAGACUGGGAUAACUCCGGGAAACCGGAGCUAAUACCGGAUAGUUCCUUGAACCGCAUGGUUCAAGGAUGAAAGACGGUUUCGGCUGUCACUUACAGAUGGACCCGCGGCGCAUUAGCUAGUUGGUGAGGUAACGGCUCACCAAGGCGACGAUGCGUAGCCGACCUGAGAGGGUGAUCGGCCACACUGGGACUGAGACACGGCCCAGACUCCUACGGGAGGCAGCAGUAGGGAAUCUUCCGCAAUGGACGAAAGUCUGACGGAGCAACGCCGCGUGAGUGAUGAAGGUUUUCGGAUCGUAAAGCUCUGUUGUUAGGGAAGAACAAGUGCAAGAGUAACUGCUUGCACCUUGACGGUACCUAACCAGAAAGCCACGGCUAACUACGUGCCAGCAGCCGCGGUAAUACGUAGGUGGCAAGCGUUGUCCGGAAUUAUUGGGCGUAAAGGGCUCGCAGGCGGUUUCUUAAGUCUGAUGUGAAAGCCCCCGGCUCAACCGGGGAGGGUCAUUGGAAACUGGGAAACUUGAGUGCAGAAGAGGAGAGUGGAAUUCCACGUGUAGCGGUGAAAUGCGUAGAGAUGUGGAGGAACACCAGUGGCGAAGGCGACUCUCUGGUCUGUAACUGACGCUGAGGAGCGAAAGCGUGGGGAGCGAACAGGAUUAGAUACCCUGGUAGUCCACGCCGUAAACGAUGAGUGCUAAGUGGUUAAGGGGGUUUCCGCCCCUUAGUGCUGCAGCUAACGCAUUAAGCACUCCGCCUGGGGGAGUACGGUCGCAAGACUGAAACUCAAGGAAUUUGACGGGGGCCCGCACAAGCGGUGAAGCAUGUGUUUAAUUCGAAGCAACGCGAGACCCUUACCAGGUCUUGACAUCCUCUGACACCCUAGAGAUAGGGCUUUCCCUUCGGGGACAGAGUGACAGGUGGUGGCAUGGUGUCGUCAGCUCGUGUCGUGAGAUGUUUGGGUAGUCCGCACGAGCGCACCCUUGAUCUAGUGCAGCAUUCAGUGGCACUCUAG
rnacentral:rRNA from 1 species